rnacentral:rRNA from 1 species
CAGCAGCCACGGGAAUACGAAGGGGGCUAGCGUUGCUCGGAAUGACUGGGCGUAAAGGGCGCGUAGGCGGUUUGUCGAGUUAGAUGUGAAAUUCCCGGGCUUAACCUGGGGACUGCAUUUGAUACUGGCAGGCUUGAGUGUGGAAGAGGGUCGUGGAAUUCCCAGUGUAGAGGUGAAAUUCGUAGAUAUUGGGAAGAACACCGGUGGCGAAGGCGGCGACCUGGUCCAUAACUGACGCUGAGGCGCGAAAGCGUGGGGAGCAAUCAGGAUUAGAUACCCCCGUAGUCCCUGUCUCUUAUAC